GCCCUGGUGGUCUAGCAGUGAGGACUUGGUGCUUUCACUGCUAUGGCCUGGGUUCAAUCCCUGGUCUGGGGA
rnacentral:tRNA from 1 species